rnacentral:rRNA from 1 species
UGAAUACGAGACGCUAAGGCGUCGAAGUAGUGUAUAUCAGACUUCCAAGAAAAGCUUGCACUGUCAUAGAUAAAAAAUGCCUGUACCAUAACCGACACAGGUGGGUAGGUAGAGUAUACUAAGGGGCGCGAGAUAACUCUCUCUAAGGAACUCGGCAAAAUAACUCCGUAACUUCGGGAGAAGGAGUGCCUUAUUUAUAAGGUUGCAAUAACAAGAUCCAAGCAACUGUUUAUCAAAAACACAGGUCUCCGCUAAGUCGUAAGACGAUGUAUGGGGGCUGACGCCUGCCCAGUGCCAGAAGGUUAAAGAAGUUGGUUAGCAAUUGCGAAGCUGAUAACUGAAGCCCUGGUGAACGGCGGCCGUAACGAUAACGGUCCUAAGGUAGCGAAAUUCCUUGUCGGGUAAGUUCCGACCCGCACGAAAGGCGUAAUGAUUUGGAUACUGUCUCGGAGAGGGGCUCGGUGAAAUAGACUUGUCUGUGAAGAUGCGGACUACCUGCACCAGGACAGAAAGACCCUAUGAAGCUUUACUGUAACUUGAAAUUGAAAUUGGACUUUAUUCGCGCAGCAUAGGUGGGAGGCGUUGAUUAUAAUCUUGCGGGAUUAUUGGAGCCAUCAGUGAGAUACCACUCUUGUAAUGUUAGAUUUCUAACUUUGAAUCAUUAUCUGGUCAAAGAACAGUUUCAGGCGGGCAGUUUGACUGGGGCGGUCGCCUCCUAAAUGGUAACGGAGGCGUACAAAGGUUUCCUCUGAACGGUUAGAAAUCGUAUCUAGAGUGUAAAGGCAUAAGGAAGCUUGACUGUGAGACCUACAAGUCGAGCAGGGACGAAAGUCGGUCUUAGUGAUCUGACGGUACUGAGUGGAAAGGCCGUCACUCAACGGAUAAAAGUUACUCUAGGAUAACAGGCUGAUCUCCCCCAAGAGUUCACAUCGACGGGGAGGUUUGGCACCUCGAUGUCGGCUCAUCGCAUCCUGGGGCGGUAGUACGUCCCAAGGGUUGGGCUGUUCGCCCAUGAAAGCGGUACGCGAGCUGGGUUCAGAACGUCGUGAGACAGUUCGGUCCAUAUCCGGUGUAGGCGUUAGAAUAUUGAGAGGAGCCUUCUUUAGUACGAGAGGACCGAGAAGGACAUACCUCUGGUGUACCAGUUAUCGUGCCAACGGUAAACGCUGGGUAGCUAUGUACGGAGUGGAUAACCGCUGAAAGCAUCUAAGUGGGAAGCCCACCUC